rnacentral:rRNA from 1 species
UACGGAAGGCAGCAGUGGGGAAUAUUGGACAAUGGGCGGAAGCCUGAUCCAGCCAUGCCGCGUGUGUGAAGAAGGCCUUUUGGUUGUAAAGCACUUUAAGCGAGGAGGAGGCUACUAGUAUUAAUACUACUGGAUAGUGGACGUUACUCGCAGAAUAAGCACCGGCUAACUCUGUGCCAGCAGCCGCGGUAAUACAGAGGGUGCGAGCGUUAAUCGGAUUUUACUGGGCGUAAAGCGUGCGUAGGCGGCUUUUUUAAGUCGGAUGUGAAAUCCCCGAGCUUAACUUGGGAAUUGCAUUCGAUACUGGGAAGCUAGAGUAUGGGAGAGGAUGGUAGAAUUCCAGGUGUAGCGGUGAAAUGCGUAGAGAUCUGGAAGAAUACGAUGGCGAAGGCAGCCAUCUGGCCUAAUACUGACGCUGAGUACGAAAGCAGU